GUGCUUGCUUUGGCAGCACAAAUACUAAAAUUGGAAUGAUACAGAGUAGACUAGCAUGACCCCUGUACAAGGGUGAACACAAAUUCGUGAGGCAUUCUAUGUUUUU